rnacentral:lncRNA from 10 species
UUCAGAGGGUACCCAAAAUGGCUGGCUUCAAAGUGAAGAAUGGGGAGGAACAGAGCCCAGGUUUUCCAUAUGAUCUCUCCCUCUGAGGUUCAGAAAGGAGUAAAGGUGAGGGGUGAAAGGUCAGAGUUCACUCAUUCACACCACAGAUCUCUAAGAGCAUCCAUUGUGUGCCAGGCCCUGCUGUAGGCACUGGAGGUAUAGUAAGAACAAGAGAAAGUCUCAGCCCUGGGGGAGUUUCUUUCCUAGACAGGUGGAACAAAUACAGACAGCAACCAAAUACAUGAUGUGCCAGCAGCCCUUACAGUUCUUCCUCUUGAGGUCGGAGGUGAAGGCACGUCCUCAGUGCCCACCCCUCACCCUGC